rnacentral:rRNA from 1 species
AGAGCGAACGCUGGCGGCAUGCUUAACACAUGCAAGUCGCACGGGCAUCUUUCGGGGUGUUAGUGGCGGACGGGUGAGUAUCGCGUAGGGAUUUAUCGUUGGGUGGGGGAUAACCUUGGGAAACUGGGGCUAAUACCGCAUGACGCCUGAGGGCCAAAGCGUUGUUCGUAAGGAUGGCGUGUCUGACGAGAAGCCUGCGUCCGAUUAGGUAGUUGGUUGGGUAAUGGCUGACCAAGCCUUCGAUCGGUAGCUGGUCUGAGAGGAUGAUCAGCCACACUGGGACUGAGACACGGCCCAGACUCCUACGGAGGCAGCAGUGGGGAAUAUUGGACAAUGGGCGCAAGCCUGAUCCAGCAAUGCCGCGUGGAUGAAGAAGGUCUUCGGAUUGUAAAGUCCUUUCGACGGGACGAUGAUGACGGUACCCGUAGAAGAAGCCCGGCUAACUUCGCGCCAGCAGCCGCGGUAA